CAUCCGCAGUCUUUUCUGUACCUUGGCCAAUAGUGGGUCUCCGUGUCAAUCCUCAGCUCCAACAAAUGGAAGUCGGGAGGUGCGUGCAUCUGUGCAUAGAGCGAGAACUCACAUUAGAAGUCAGUUUAAUAGUUUGCCCGCUUGGCAGAAUAUUAGUAGCCGUUCCCCCACUGGAGCCUGUCUAGGGGAGAGUAGACCUGCCUUGUUUACCCUUUCCACCGUCGUCUUUUUCCCUCUCUGCUUGCUUUUGCCAUCUCAUUGAAUGUAUGGCCGAAACCCUCAGGACCCUCAUGUUGGCGACAAGAGACAGAGCAAAAAUGGCGUAUAUGAGUGUGGAACUUUGAGCUGGUGAGCCAGUCUUCCCAAACUCUCUCCAAAACUUUUAUUCUGGAGCGGCACUCUUACCAUGAUUAUGUUCUGGAAUCCUCUGAGAUCGCUAGCUAAAUUGUGUGGAACAGAUGCUGCUGAAAGAUUUCAUUCAAAUGUGUAAAGAAUAUGCAGUUCCAUCCCUUAAAUUCCCUUCAGUGUAUGAAGCAUUUGCCCCAUGUUUGCCUGGAUGCUGCCUGGUUUUGCACCAUGAUGAUAGUGGACUGAGCCUCUGAAACUGGUCAGUGCACACAAGCUGUGUUCCAGGGCCUGUCAAGGCUGCAUCUUGUGUUGACAGCUGAACUUGGUAAUGUGUUAGAGACUCCCAGGUGGUAGUGGUUUUGAAGGCAUGAAGCGAUCAUGAAGAAUGGCUGAGGCUUGGCAUCAUGAGAGGUCAGGAGAGGACAUUGCCGAAAGUGUCACCUUAAUUCCAGUAUAAACCCCAGGGGCCGGAGGGGUCAUGGUAAAAAGUUGAGACUUGGUGAAGCUGAUUUCUGUGAAAAGCUCAGCAUAUUGGAGGUGCCAUGACUGUGGAAUGACCAAUUGCCAAGGUUGGCAACAGCUGUGGAGUGAAAUUGGCCUGAGCCUGUAAGACAAGUUGUGUAGACUGCGUAUGAAGAAGUGGGUGGAUAAGUGGAGCUGCCCAAGAUCAUUAGAACCCAGAAAAUUGCGAGCUUCAGAUGUUAGACAUGAUUAACACUGCUGGAGUUUGGCUUUGCUUUGAUUGUGACUGUUUUCUGAUUCUUACCCUUUGUGACAAGAUUUACGUAACUUACGUUUGAUUUUUAAGGAGACCAUGGUUGAGAGACCUUGAAAGAAACUUUGGAUAUUUUUUAAAGAGAAGUUGAAUAUUUGAAGUGUUGAGAUUUUUUUUUUUUACAAAAGACCAUGAGACUUAAUGUUACUUAUAUUUUAAACUGUGAUAUUGAUAUCAACAUGUAAAUUGGGUAACAAAUAAAGAAAAGGUUAUGGUUUCA